rnacentral:lncRNA from 1 species
GCACUGCAGGUGGGUGGAUUGGGAGCGAGUUGACAGGAAGUCACAGGUAUGGGCAGGUGGUGUUGCCUGCUUGCGUGUGGCCUGCCGAGGGGGCGCGGUUUGUGCCCGAUCUUCAACACACAGUUGUUUGUACAGCUCGUGGCAGUGGUGAUCAGCACGCGCUCUAACCUUGACCAACCGCGCCACAAACUUGAUACGAUCCGAAAUCUCCUUGACCACCGCCGUCAGCGCCUCCGCCAGCGCCGCCUCCCGCGCCGGGUCCGCCUGGCGCAGGUGCGGCGGCGUGUCCCACAGCGCCUGCAUCAGCACGUCGCGCUGCGCCUUGCCGUUGUCGCGCCCACCGUUGCCUCCUGCGGUGCUCGGGCACAGCGGACGCGGGUAACAUCACCACAUCACAAGAAGGUCACUUAGCGUCGUCGGCAGCAGAGCAAGCAAGACGGAUCUCUACCACAUCAUGCUUUCCUACCCAGAGGGACGAUGGCCGUCAUCUUGAUGUCCAUGUCCACACCGUGCACCUUGAGCUGCGUGUGUUGGUUGGGUGCUUGACCGUCAGGUGGGCCGGCUGGUAAAAACACAAUCGUGAGCGCGGCAGCCCAGGCACAUGCGACCAUUGGCCAGAAACCACUGAGCCAAAAGCGCGGCAAUCGUUUCCCCCUCCUGUGCGGUCUCAUACGCGGAAGCUGGCAAUUACAUGCACGCUCUACCGCUCGUCCAGCAAGCAGCCAGCACGCACGUUGACGCAGUGCUUGUAGUGCGUGCCGUGCUCCACCUCCACCACAUCGUGCAGCUCCUCCUGUCCCCGCAGGUACGCCGCCACGGCCCGCUGCAUGUCGCGCUGCAGCCGCUCCCCCGCCUCGCCGCUCCAGUCCUCGUAAUUCAGUGCCCGCUCCUGGAACUUAAUCACGAAGACCGACAGGUCGACAUCAUGUGCGCCGCUCACGAGGGUGCGGCGCCCGAAGCUGCCGCCCUUGUGGAUGCGGUACACCUGAGGCGGCGGGAAUGGCACGACAGUCUGCACUAGCUUACAUAAGCUGUACAGGGGAAUCGCGAGCCCACGAUGGCCGGGUGGGGCUGCUGGCUGGGGCCCGCGGGACACGUAAUUGGCGCCGAAGUGGCUGCGGGGCUGCCUGGGCCGGGGCGUGGCCGGCUUGCCGGUUUGCCACACGUGCGGUACAUUAUCGUAACGUACGUACCCAUCUCAGCCCACACAUGCUGCCCCAUGCCAUGCCCCGGCAAAACUCACAUAGCCGCACCCCUACCGUACCUUGAUGAGCGGGCAUUUGCCCAGCAGGCCGUGGAUGAGAUUGGUGGCGACGGCGGCCUGCUUAGCCUGCUGCUCCGCCGCGGACCCGCCGGCGGGGGAGAUGAGCAGCCGCAGCUGUCCAUUGAAGUAGCGCUCGUAGGCCUUGCUGCCAGGGAGCAUCUGUGUACGAAAAGCACACGGGAAGGGUCGUGUGUGUGUGUGUGUGUGUGUGUGUGUGUGUGUGUGUGUGUGUGUGUGUGUGUGUGUGUGUGUGUGUGUGUGUGUGCCAAGCCGGUGCGUAGACAGGGACGGGCAUCAGUUGAGUGGUGGGGUGAGCCUGCUUGCUCCAACUAGCUGCUGCCUGCCGUGUCGCACGUGCCGUCAUGAAGCCCCUGCCAGCCCCUGCUCACCUUUUCCAGAACGCCGCGCUGGUUGUCGUCACUGUUCUCCGUGGGCUUGUGCACCUGCAGGGUGCAUGCAUGCGUGAACGCAUGGCCAAUGACGUGCGUGUGGCCCCGUUACAUACCUGGAUCAGGGUGGGCACCAUUUCGGCAGCCGGCUUGGCGGGACGGGAGUGGCUGGGCACCUCAUCAAAGGCCGCGUAGUACUCGUCCUCCCACUCGUCCAAGUGAUCAUCAAAGGCCGCGUGGUACUCGUCCUCCCGGCGACACCACUCGUCUUCGGCAUCGUAGUAUGCACUCCAAUAAUCAUAAUCGCUCUGCAGGCCACAGCAGCGUGGGGCCUCAGUCAGCAAACGGAAACGCCCAAGCGUUACGCAAACAUUGGGCCGAUGCGUCUCCGCACCUCCUCCACGAGCGCCUCCGUAAGCUCACCAACGUCAAAAGAGCUCAUGAUUGAUAAAUAUAUUGCCUCGUGCGGUAUAACCCACAAUCGGCGGCGCCUUGUCAACGCCCCUAUUGCCAAGGAGUUCAGGGUGCUAUCUAGCGAUUCGGUAAGACACUUUUGGUAUAUAUUUGUAUAUAUCCCCAUUCACCGCAAUCGGCACAUCGAAAAGCCCUAGCGGUUGGCAUGCGUGCCGCGAUUAUAAACCUUGGCACUCGAAACCCAGUGAACCAAGGACAAGCACCGCGUGGUCCAGCCUUAACGUGCCUCACUCGUCGCAACUCUGACAUCCCACACACCCGGUGCCGACACUACAUAGCCAACUCGUCCGCCGGCAUGAUCUUCAACCCGCCCUACACCUCACUUCCGCAUGGCCACAGCUCGCUCAUGCUGCGCCCGCUCGCGCUGCAGCUUCAUCUCUAUCUCCAGCGCCUUGAGCGCGGGCGCCAGGGAGCUGUCCGUCAGCAGGUCCCACAUGCUGCGGGUCAGCACCACCUCGUGCAGGGUGCGAGCCUCGUCCGCCAGCGCCGCCCACUCCACCGUGCAGCCCUGCUUAGAUAGAUUGUUGAUACACGGCGCGGCACAGGCAUGUAAGGGCAUGUAUCAGAUCAAGGUUCAAGAAAUCAAAAGGCAACUGCAGCAGCCAUGUGCCGAAGCCUAGCAGGUUGGGCACAAGCAGCGCUAUGCGCAAGGUUGCUACCGUGCAGGUGCAGGAAGCCAAGAACGCGUUCGGAUCUUACCGCCGCCAGGUUGCAGGUGGGGUCGAUGGGGUGCAGCACCACCACGGGGUCAUUCCGCCACACGUGCCUGCAGCUCUCCGCCUGCGCCCGGGUGUAGCCCCACACCGGCCCCGCCUCCAGCACCACCACCUCCCGGCGGGUCACGGCGGCGUCCAGCAACUCCAGGGCCGCCAGGAAAGCCUCAGCAUCACGGAAACGCCUGUGCGGCACAAAAAAGCUCGACGUUAACGCACCCGCAAGGUGGCAGUAAACUUAUCCGGCCGUGGUACUUUUACAGACAGAAAGCAGCUAGCUUGCCCGCACACACACACACACACACACGCACACAAACGCACACCUGCUGUGGGUUGGGAGCUUUUGCAGACGCUGCGCCGCGGCCAGCGCCAGCACCUCUAGCAGCACGCUGGGCACGAAGGGGAUGCGGUCCUUGAGACCGCUGAGCUUGUACCAACACUGCAAGUGCCACCCGCAAGUACGAGAGACCGUUACGUGGCAGAUAGGAUCACUGGCUUGCUUCACUUUCCCAUCGCCACCACUUCUGCCUGGCUGCCCGAUCGCCACCAUACCACGGCGCAGCUUCCCAAAGCCAAGCGCACCUUGAGAAGGCGCACAACGGACUUGUCCCAGUCGGGGAUCUCCUUGACCACCGCCGUCAGUGCCUCCGCCAGCGCCGCCUCCCGCGCCGGGUCCGCCUGGCGCAGGUGCGGCGGCGUGUCCCACAGCUGCUUCAUCAGAGCAUCACGCUGCGCCCUGCCGUUGCCUGCAAUCACACGUGCAUUUUAAAGGCUAUUUUCAUGUAGUGGUGUUGACUGCAACUUGCUUGCAAGUACGGCCCUACGGGCCCACGUACUAAGGCC